GGAUCCAGACUUUGUUAUGGCUCAGGAUGAACGCUAGCUACAGGCUUAACACAUGCAAGUCGAGGGGAAACGAUAUUGGAAGCUUGCUUCCGAUAGGCGUCGACCGGCGCACGGGUGAGUAGCGCGUAUCCAACCUGCCCACCACUUGGGGAUAACCUUGCGAAAGUAAGACUAAUACCCAAUGAUAUCUCUAGAAGACAUCUGAAAGAGAUUAAAGAUUUAUCGGUGAUGGAUGGGGAUGCGUCUGAUUAGCUUGUUGGCGGGGUAACGGCCCACCAAGGCGACGAUCAGUAGGGGUUCUGAGAGGAAGGUCCCCCACAUUGGAACUGAGACACGGUCCAAACUCCUACGGGAGGCAGCAGUGAGGAAUAUUGGUCAAUGGGCGAGAGCCUGAACCAGCCAAGUAGCGUGCAGGAUGACGGCCCUAUGGGUUGUAAACUGCUUUUAUAAGGGAAUAAAGUGAGUCUCGUGAGACUUUUUGCAUGUACCUUAUGAAUAAGGACCGGCUAAUUCCGUGCCAGCAGCCGCGGUAAUACGGAAGGUCCGGGCGUUAUCCGGAUUUAUUGGGUUUAAAGGGAGCGUAGGCCGGAGAAUAAGCGUGUUGUGAAAUGUAGAUGCUCAACAUCUGCACUGCAGCGCGAACUGGUUUCCUUGAGUACGCACAAAGUGGGCGGAAUUCGUGGUGUAGCGGUGAAAUGCUUAGAUAUCACGAAGAACUCCGAUUGCGAAGGCAGCUCACUGGAGCGCAACUGACGCUGAAGCUCGAAAGUGCGGGUAUCGAACAGGAUUAGAUACCCUGGUAGUCCGCACGGUAAACGAUGGAUGCCCGCUGUUGGUCUGAAUAGGUCAGCGGCCAAGCGAAAGCAUUAAGCA
rnacentral:rRNA from 1 species